AACCUUAUACCGAUUUUAUUAUAUAUACCCCUUAUAAAGAAAAUUGGCUUUAAGGGAGGGAGUAAGAACCUGAACUUACUGGGAAAAAACCCUCUCUAGGUCGAUCUUUCUCUAUCAAAAAACACACACACACAACAAAUAAACCCUAUCUCUGUCUCGAUCUUUCUCUAUAUUGAUUCUUGAUCAAUCGAAAAAACCCCUCUAUUUCGAUCCACGCCUCUCUAUCUCGAUCCUUCUCGAUCUAUCAGAAAUACAGACACAACAAAUAAAACCAUUCAUCGAUUCGUGAUCAAUCCAUAUAUACACCACUACCAGCAGCUCGAUUCGUGACGCCACCAACAGAUUCGUGAUCAAUCCAUAUAUACACCGCCACCAGCAGAUCGAUUCGUGCGGGAAAGACAUCGCCACCAGCAACGAUCUAUUAAUUACACCCGCCAUCAAAAACAUUGUUGAUCAUGGAUGUUUUAAAGAAUGGAUGGAUGGCCACGAUGAAUCUGGUUCAAAUGAUGUAUGUUCUCAUGAUAGCGUUUAAUUGGUUUUUUUCCCCCAGCAUUAAUGACCGAAAUCAAAUCGACCUGGGCAACAUUAAUCUGGUCGACUAAUUCCCAAUUUAACACAGAGACAAUGCAAAAUGCUCUCUUUUCUGCCAGUGAGACCACCAAGGCUAUAUAAUUCACAAUUUUUGCCACAAGCCUACCGAUCGAAUUUUAUAGCUAACAACGUACGCUCUGCAAUCUCGUAUGCGUAUUACGGAGUAUUAGCUUGAAGCAUAGUUUAGAAGAAUAUAAGCUCUUGGUACCAAGCUAGGUAGAGUCAUUAGAAGAGAAUGGAUUCUGGAUGUGAUAAAAAAACAAAGAGUGUAGAAGAUGCUGAUAGACUAAGCAGCUUGCCCGACGAUAUUAUCCAUAAAAUUUUAAAACUUUUUGAUAUAAAACAAGUAAUCAAAAUCAGUGUUUUGUCAUCUAGAUGGAGGUUUAUCUGGACUUCAAUGCCCUAUCUCAAUUUCUCAAUUGAAGAUUCGAGUAGCUUAAUGCCCCCCUAUCUCGAUUCCUCAAGUGAAGAAUAUUCCAGUAGGACGUUAUACAAGUCCAUUGGCUUUGUUAACCGUGUUUUGUCUCGUCGUGAUAAUCAAAAACAAGUGCCUUCCCUCAAGCUUAUUCUUCAUGUAAAGGUUAGCGCGACGUUUGUUGAAAGAGUUAUAAGCUACGCAUUCUCCCACAAUGUCAAAACAGUGAACAUUACAUGUUAUUCAAAGGGGUGUACUGGAGUCCCUUUUUCCGUUUUAAGUUCACCGUGUCUAAAACAUCGUACAUUAAGUGGAGCGAGUUAUACUCACCCCCUUACUGUCGAGUCAACUUGGGAGUUUUCAGCUUUGACAACAUUGUAUCUUGAAUGUAUGACUUUGUAUGAUACAAGUUCUGAAAAGUGUGUGAGUCUUUUCUCAGAGAGCACAAAUCUGAAAAAUCUCACCUUAAAUCACUUCAAUAUAAGGGGAUCAGCAGAUGGUUUCAGUAUAAGUCCUCCUCGCCUAUCUAAUCUCACACUUCAAAAUGGAGAUUGGGGUUCAAAGGUUGUCAAAGUGGUUGCACCUCAACUAAAGAAUUUAACAAUUGUAGAAUGCACGGGGACGUAUUUCCUUUCCACGCCUCACCUUGCUAGUUUAUUCUUUAAAGGUUAUUCUCCUCGACACUUUUCUGCAGACGGUUUUCCUUCUUUGGAAACGGUCCGUCUCUCUAUUUAAAAUCUGGAUAAAAUGGAUUCCCCUAAAAUCAUUGGUCUGUUUCAACACUUCCACAAUGUCAAAUAUCUUGCGCUUACCAUGAACAUCAUUCAGCUUCUGUCUUUAUCCAAGGAUCUAAUCUCAAAUCAACCUUCUCCAUUUGCUAACUUGAAGAAAUUAAAGAUAGUUCCAGUAAGUGGAAUGCCUUUGCCAACUGAAGUCGACAACUAUUUGCUAGGCGGUAGCUCCACCUCCAGGUGCAACCUGUAUUAAUGGUCUCCCAUAACAGCAUCCUACAUCAUGACAGCAUAUUGUGUACGUUAUUGAUCUUGAUUACGUUAUUAAUUAAUGGAAAAUGAUUAAUCAACCUAAGUCAUAUGCCUAAAAAUCAACCUAAAACCUUAAGAAUUUGACAUGUGGAUUCCACUCAUUCUUUUUCUUAAUUUUGGCCCCUGAAUUUUUCCAAAUGUCUUCAUCCUACGAUUAGGUUGAUUUGUAGACAUACAAAUUAGGUUGAUUUAUCAUUAUCCUUAAUUAUAUGAUACUUAGCUCAUAAAGGGAUUUCUGGCUUACACCUUCACAUGGCCAAAACUCCUAAACAAGGAGUUUCAAGUCGAUGUGCAGCAUCUUUAUUUCAAGAAAAUACUCAAUUUUCAAUGCUUGCUACGCUUUUUUGGCGUAUAGAAA